rnacentral:misc_RNA from 1 species
GAACAUAUUAUUAUUGAGCUAAGUACACAACAUAACUCCACCAAUGAAAGAUUUUAACCCCAGCUAAAUCAAGCAUCACCAGUUCCAAGCCCAAAUAGAGGAAAGUUGCAAAAGAUGACAACCACCAUAAAAUCGUCACAUCCUUAAGUUAAUCAUUUGCUACUCAUCAAUGGUGUUUGGGAUAGUAUGGUUACAUCCAACUGAAGAAUGAU